AACUUCUCCUCUCUCCUUCCUUUUCUUCUCCCAACUUCUUUCCAAACCUCUCCUCUCCCUUUUCUCCUGCCGCGAAGAGGGAAGGGGAGAUCCGCCUUUUCUUCUCCUUUCUUCUCUCGCGAAGGGAGGAGGGCGAGCUCCCCCUCACGGGAGGGGUCGGGCCGCGGCCGGCGGCACCCGCGGCCGCGCCUGCGGCGGCCGGCCCCCUCUUCUCCCGCGGAGAAGAGGGAUGCUCGGGAGGGGGCCGACCCGAGGCCGGCGACGCCGCGGUCAAGGAUCCACCGUUCUGCUUCACCGUCUUCACCUUCAUCGUGACCAACAAGGGCGCUGGCAAGCGAGCGAGGUCGUCUCCGGCCGGCUGCCGGGGUUGCAAUUUACAAGGAGUACCGCCGACCGCGGGCCCCUCCCCCCCUCCACCUGCAGUCAAGAAAGGCUUCAAAACCCAUUCCAAACUCUCCCCAGAGAGCAGAGCAAAAGGAGAAAGAAAGAAAGAAAGAAAGAAACACUGUGCUUCUUGAAAGCAAAAGGGAGGUUGCAUGAUGCCGUUGGACCCCAUACGAAGUUUGUGAGGUGCCCUAAGGGCUGAAGGGGAGCUACAGAAGAGGAAGGAGGUCGUGCACUAUGUCACUCUUUACGAGAUCGAUGUCAUCAACAGCAGAGCUGCAGGAGGUCAGGUUUCAUGGACUGGGUGAGAAAAUAUUAGUUAGAUUUUUGUAUGGAACACUGGAUAUGUCUGAACAUUGUAAGUGAACAACUUUAUUGCUAGUUAUUGAUGGAAUAUUUUGACAAUUAUAA